GGCUGAAUAGCUCAGUGGUAAGAGCAGUCGCCCGGCAAGCGAAAGACUCAGGUUCGAUUCCCGUUUCAGCGA
rfam:Camponotus floridanus CamFlo_1.0_4.contig4170, whole genome shotgun sequence.